GUGAUACUUGGAGGUCAUGCUUCAGUAACAGUGAGAGGAGGACGAGAUUCGUUCACUUCACAAGAGUAUGUCUCUAGUGUUGACUCUGUCGAGUCCUUGGUACAGUGAACAGAGGCAGAAGGUCCACCUUUCCUCCCCUCCAUCCUCCCACAGCUCUACCCUCUUGGACCCUGCGCUUCUUCCCAGAAUAAUCAUCUUAUGAAAGAUCUCGCCAGUAGUGUAGACACCUCUGAGUGUGCCCCGCCGCGUGAGCGAGUCUCCCUGCAGAUGUAGGAAGACCAGAAGAAAGAGAGCUGGCAGCAAGCAUGCUGUAACGAGACCUCAGUUCUCCCUCAGACUCGAACCCUAAAGGAUUAGCCUCAGUUUCCCUCGGCUGAGCUGAAAGCAGAGGCAGCCCUGCCUUCCGGGAGGGAUGAUGAAAGACUCUGAAGGGAGCCAGAAUUCUCUCCCAGGAGCAGGUCUCUGCCACGAAGAACCAGGAUGACAGGGUCACUUGGGGGCAAAAAUGAUACGGGCAGAAGUGACCAACGAGAAAUAUCUGGGAGUCUGGAAGGAGGCAGGCAAGACCUCACUGGCUCCGAAAACCAAAUAACUCAGACAGACAGACGACGACGACGACGACGACGACGA